rnacentral:miRNA from 1 species
AAGGAACAGGGGACACUUGUAAUGGAGAGCACUAAGCUAUGGACUGCUACUGCUCUCCAUUACAAGUAUCCCCUGUUACCU